GUUGUUUAUACAUUGAAAACCACAACAUAUGUUAAGCUUUAUUUUUGAAAACGUUAACUUAUUUUGUUUUUGUAUUUAUCUUUUGUAUGUUUUAACAUGGUAAAGAAUAGCGAAAUGUAUCACUGUUGUGUAAUGUAAUAAAGGUUCUUAAGUUCAAGCGAUGCAUUUUUAUAAUCACUGCAUUGUAAUGAACCCAUAGAUGUUGGUAACACAUCAGUUAGUAUUGGUAUUGGUUUAAGUUAUGUUAGUAAAGUGUCACAUGUUAUACACUUAACUUAAUAUUGUACAAAAUAGUGGACACUUUACAAUAAGGUUCAUAAUUCCUAUCACAAAUGCUUUGUUAAUGAUAAACCAUGUUAGUACACAAAUUUAAUAACAUACAAGUAGAAUCUGAUGUUUCCACUUUAACAUUUUAAAACAGUGUUUAUUUAAAAGUUCUUUGUUUCGACUUUGAUCAGGAACCUUGAAUUAUAUAAAUGUAUCCUAAACUUUACCAGUUAGAGUGCAUUAAUAUACAGUAUGAGUAAGUUAAAAUGAACAAAGAUUCUGUAGUGCUGAACCUGAUUAAAUUUUCAUUAUUUGCUUGUGUUAAUUAAUGCAUUAUCUAACACAUUACUAUAUUUGCACGUUUAACAAAAAUUUCAUUUUAAUAAAUGUUUAUUGUUAGGUCAGGAUAUUUAAUCUAUUAUCAACAAAGAUUAUGUGCAAUGACGUCAUUAGCAACAUGAUCUAUUGGUGAACAAUGCUUUAUCUUUGUUAUACAACGCUUUUGCUUUACAAAUAAAUAUAUGUUUAGUUUAGAUUCACAAAUGUUAAGUAAUGCUUAACAGAUCUGUUGCUUAUUGUUAAAUCAUGUUUACAAAUGCAUUAACUAAUGUUAACUAGUAAAAGCUUAAGUGUUACCUACUGUAUACACUUUUGAUGACUUUUGAAAUAAGGUGACCAAGCUGUUUGAUCGGUCAGGUCAGGGGGAUGAGGCGGCUUUCCUUUUAGCCCAGCUCAGUCAGAACAGGUACUCAGGGAUUGACUACUCUACCCAAUUCAGGACACAGGCAGUGGCCUGCGCUUGGAAUGAAGCAGCUCUUCAAGCAAGGUUUCGGGACGGUCUGGAUGACGAGAUCCAGGACAAGAUUGCCACCCAUGAUCUCCCUCAUGAUUUUGCCACCCUGGUUGACCUUGUUCUUCGUGUUGAGGGUCGCCUUCUUCGCUGUCAAAAUUGGUGAGCGACCUGUUCGUCCUGGAAGGCUGAAGAGGGUGUCUCCACACUCUAUCAACCACUCCUGAACAGGAACCAAUGCAGUUGGGACAUCUGCGACUGACUACUCAGGAAAAAUUACAUUGGCUGGCUAAGGCGUAUGCCUGAACUAUGGGAAACCGGGUCAUCAGGCUUUUUGGUGUCCUUUAAAAUCACCAGCUUACCAAUAAUACGGGGGAUCCUGGUGUGCACGUUUCCUUUCUCUGACACCACCACAUAUGGUACCUUACUGCCAGCCUCUCUUCAGUGUGGAGAUGUUGUCCUUUCGUGCUCUGCCCUAAUCGACACCAGAGCAGAGGGCAACUUUAUAGACAGUCCCACUGUUGAGCCCUGGAGCAUUCCUGCUAUCCCUCUUUCCUCCCCUAUCACUGUCCUCUCCCUGAAUGGUCUUACCAUCACCUCCAUCACUCGUUUCACUCCUUCUGUUAGUUUAAUUAUUUCUGGCAAUCACCAUGAGGUUAUUAAUCUGUAUUCAUUUGAUUCCCCAAGUGCUCCCGUGGUAUUGGAGCACCCGUGGUUGAUCAAACACAAUCCUCACGUUGGUUGGGCAGCUAAUUCUGUGUUGUCUUGUAGUCCGUCUUGUCUUACUAUGUGUCUGGGUGUUGCCCCGUGUUCUGGUUCUGUUUCCUUUAUAUUGCAGGUCUAAGCUGUAGAUCUCUCCGGACUCCUAUCGGAAUACCAUGAUCUGCGUUGGGUCUUCAGCAAGUGCGUUUCGUUCCUGGGACAUAUAGUCUCGACGGAGACUUUUCACGUGGCUAAAAUCGAUGAUGAGUGCCAUUCACAUUCCAGGACUGAGCUGAUGUUAAUGAAAGACAUUCUGUUUUCCCCUACAAGGGCUAUCAAGCCUGUUCUUCCCUCGUGCUGCUUGCAAAUUGGCCAGGUAAAGACUAUUUACUUAUCAUAAAUGCUUUGUUAAAUUCAAUCAAAUUUAAUUAAUCUUUAUUUCUAUAGUGUUAUUUCUCAGAACUUCAGAUUCAGGGGCCUAAGGAAGAAAUGACUAGGAAUAACAUAAAAACAACUGUGUUUAUGACCUUACAUAACAAA